UACGUAGGGGGCAAGCGUUGUCCGGAUUUAUUGGGCGUAAAGAGCUCGUAGGCGGCUUGGCAAGUCGGGUGUGAAAACUUCAGGCUCAACCUGGAGCGGCCACUCGAUACUGCUAUGGCUUGAGUCCGGUAGGGGACCACGGAAUUCCUGGUGUAGCGGUGAAAUGCGCAGAUAUCAGGAGGAACACCGGUGGCGAAGGCGGGUCUCUGGGCAACAACUGACGCUGAGGAGCGAAAGCGUGGGGAGCGAACAGG
rnacentral:rRNA from 1 species